AUGCAACGAUGAUUCUUUUCUACAAAUCAUAAAGACAUUGGUACUCUAUAUUUUAUUUUUGGAGCAUGAUCUGGUAUAGUAGGAACCUCAUUAAGUUUAAUUAUCCAUGCUGAAUUAGGACAACCAGGAACACUUAUUGGUAAUGAUCAAAUUUAUAAUGUUGUUGUUACCGCUCAUGCUUUUGUUAUAAUCUUUUUUAUAGUUAUACCAAUUAUAAUUGGAGGAUUUGGUAAUUGAUUAGUUCCUCUUAUAUUAGGAGCCCCUGAUAUAGCCUUUCCUCGUAUAAACAAUAUAAGAUUCUGACUUUUACCACCGUCUCUAACUCUAUUAUUAAUAAGAGGUAUAGUAGAAAGAGGUCUUGGUACAGGUUGAACUGUUUACCCUCCACUAGCAGCAGCUAUUGCCCAUGCAGGGGCUUCAGUCGAUCUAGGUAUUUUUUCACUUCAUCUUGCAGGUGUCUCUUCUAUUCUUGGUGCAGUUAAUUUUAUAACAACUGUAAUUAAUAUACGAUCUUUUGGUAUAAGAAUAGACCAAAUACCUUUAUUUGUUUGAUCUGUAUUUAUUACUGCAAUUCUCUUACUUUUAUCCUUACCAGUUCUAGCAGGAGCAAUUACUAUACUUCUAACCGAUCGGAAUCUUAAUACAUCAUUUUUUGACCCUGCUGGCGGUGGAGAUCCUGUCUUAUACCAGCAUUUAUUCUGAUUCUUUGGUCACCCAGAAGUUUAUAUUCUUAUUUUACCAGCAUUUGGUAUAAUCUCCCACAUUGUAAGUCAGGAAUCAGGAAAAAAAGAAUCAUUCGGAACUUUAGGUAUAAUCUAUGCUAUAAUGGCUAUUGGUAUUCUAGGGUUUAUUGUCUGAGCUCAUCAUAUAUUUACAGUCGGAAUGGAUGUUGACACACGAGCCUAUUUUACAUCAGCAACAAUAAUCAUUGCUGUUCCAACAGGAAUCAAAAUUUUUAGAUGACUAAGAACUCUUCAUGGUACACAAAUUAAUUAUAGGCCUUCAAUAUUAUGAGCUUUAGGAUUUAUCUUCUUAUUUACUGUUGGAGGUCUUACAGGAGUUGUUUUAGCUAAUUCAUCAAUUGACAUUAUUCUCCACGAUACAUACUAUGUCGUAGCCCAUUUCCACUAUGUUUUAUCUAUAGGAGCUGUAUUUGGUAUUUUUGCUGGUAUUGCACACUGAUUUCCUCUAUUUACCGGUUUAUCUCUAAAUCCUAAAUGAAUAAAAAUUCAUUUUUUUAUUAUAUUCACAGGUGUAAAUAUCACCUUCUUUCCUCAACAUUUUCUAGGACUUAAUGGCAUACCUCGACGCUAUUCUGAUUACCCAGAUGCCUAUACAACAUGAAAUAUUGUUUCUUCUAUAGGUUCUAUAGUAUCUCUUGUUGCUAUAUUAAUCUUUAUAAUUAUUAUUUGAGAAGCUCUAAUCUCUAAUCGACCUAUUUUAUUUACUCCAUUUUUACCCUCCUCAAUUGAAUGAAAUCACUCUUACCCACCAGCUGAUCAUUCUUAUAUAGAAAUUCCACUAAUUUCUAAUUUCUAAAAUGACAGAUAGAUGUAUAGGAUUUAAGCUCCUACUAGGAAGAAAUUUAUUCUUCUUUUAGAAUUCUACUAAUCUAAUAAUUUUAAUGGCAACAUGAACUUUUUUAGGUCUUCAAGAUGGAGCUUCUCCUUUAAUAGAACAAUUAAUUUUCUUCCAUGAUCAUAUCAUAGUUGUUCUUAUUAUAAUUAUUACCUUCGUUGGUUAUAUACUUGCAUCGGUACUUAGAAAUUCACUUAUCAAUCGAUUUAUACUCGAACAUCAAACUAUUGAAUUAAUUUGAACUGCAGUUCCAGCAAUCAUUUUAAUCUUUAUUGCCCUCCCUUCUCUUCGGUUACUUUACUUACUAGAUGAAGUCAAUAACCCAUCUAUUACCUUAAAAACUGUAGGCCAUCAAUGAUAUUGAAGUUAUGAAUAUUCUGAUUUCCUUAAUGUUGAAUUUGACUCUUAUAUAACUCCCACUAACGAGCUAGACUUAUCAGGCUUCCGGCUUCUAGAUGUUGAUAAUCGAACUGUUCUCCCUAUAAACACACAAAUUCGUAUUGUAAUUACAGCAGCAGAUGUAAUUCACUCCUGAACAGUUCCAGCCUUAGGGGUUAAAGCAGAUGCUAUCCCAGGCCGACUUAAUCAAACCAGAUUUUUAAUAUCACGUCCGGGAUUAUUUUAUGGGCAGUGUUCAGAAAUUUGUGGAGCAAACCAUAGAUUUAUACCUAUUGUAAUUGAAAGUGUCAAUACAAAUUCCUUUUUAAAUUGAAUUUCUUCGUAUUCAGACUCACCCGAUGACUGAAAGUAAGUGUAGGUCUUUUAAACCUAAUAUAGUAUAACGCCUACUUCUGGUGGCAAGAAAUUAGUUAAAUUUAUAAUAUUAAUUUGUCAUAUUAAAGUUAUCUUUCUUAAGAUAUUUCUUGAUGCCUCAAAUAGCCCCAAUACUUUGGUUUUAUCUUUAUUUUUUCUUUCUUUUUACAUUUAUUAUCUUUGUUUCUUUAAACUAUUUUUUUUAAGCCUUUCGAAAAAUUAAUUUUAAAAUUUCUUUUUCCCAUAUUACUCCUCAAUUUAUUUGAAAAUUAUAGCUAAUUUAUUUUCAAUUUUUGAACCAUCUUCAAGAAUUUUUUAAUUUUUCAUUAAACUGAAUUUCAACUCUUUUAGGACUCAUAUUCAUUCCUUACUUAUAUUGAGCUUCCCCAUCACGAUGGUCUCUAUGCUGAAGAGAAAUUAUUUUUACUUUACAUAAAGAAUUUAAAGCUCUUUUAACUCCUUAUUCCUUAGGUUCAACUUUAUUCUUUGUUGGAUUAUUUUCUAUAAUUCUCUACAAUAACUUUUUAGGUUUAUUACCUUAUGUGUUUACUAGAUCAAGACAUAUGGCAAUAACUCUAGCUCUUUCAUUACCUCUUUGAGUAACUUUAAUACUUAGAGGUUGAAUUAAUCAUACUCAACAUAUAUUUGCCCAUUUAGUUCCUCAAGGUACACCUUCUAUUCUUAUACCAUUUAUAGUUUUAAUUGAAACUAUUAGAAAUAUUAUCCGGCCUGGGACUUUAGCUGUACGAUUAGCAGCUAAUAUAAUUGCAGGUCAUCUUCUUCUUACUUUAUUAGGAAAUACUGGUCCCUCUAUAAGAUCUUCAAUUAUUCUUUCAAUAUUAAUCUUUUCUCAAAUCUUACUUUUGACUUUAGAAUCUGCUGUCGCAAUCAUUCAAUCUUAUGUUUUUGCUGUUUUAAGAACUCUUUAUACUGGAGAAAUUAACUAAUGACAUCAUCUCAUGGUUUUCAUCCCUAUCACUUAGUAGAUAUAAGGCCUUGACCUUUAACUGGCUCAAUUAGAGCUAUGAUAUUAACUACAGGUUUAAUUAAAUGAUUCCACCAAUAUAAUAUAAAUCUCCUAUUAUUAAGAUUUAUUGCUAUUCUUUUAACAAUAUACCAAUGAUGACGAGAUGUAACUCGGGAAGGAACUUUUCAAGGGCUUCAUACUUCUGUAGUAGUCAAAGGAUUACGAUGAGGUAUAAUUCUAUUUAUUGCCUCUGAAGUUCUUUUUUUCUUUUCAUUCUUUUGAGCUUUCUUUCAUAGAAGAUUAGCCCCAACUGUUGAAAUUGGGAUAAACUGGCCUCCCUUUGGUAUCCAACCAUUUAAUCCAUUUCAAAUUCCCCUUCUUAAUACAACUAUUCUCCUAUCUUCUGGAGCAACUGUAACCUGAGCCCAUCAUGCUAUUAUAGAAUCUAAUCAUAGUCAAGCUAUCCAAAGUUUAGGUUUAACAAUUAUUUUAGGAAUUUAUUUUUCUCUCCUCCAAGCCUUUGAAUACUUUGAAGCUCCAUUUACUAUUGCAGACUCAGUUUUUGGUUCUACUUUUUUUGUGGCUACAGGUUUUCAUGGUCUUCAUGUUAUCAUUGGUUCAUCAUUUUUACUUAUUUGCUUUUUUCGUCUUUAUUUUUGUCAUUUUUCAUCUAACCAUCAUGUUGGAUUUGAGGCAGCUGCAUGGUAUUGACAUUUUGUAGAUGUAGUUUGAUUGUUCCUUUAUAUCUUUAUCUACUGAUGAGGAGGAUAA